UUCAAUUGUCUAUUCGUUCGAAAUAUUGCUUCUAUUGCGCAUAACCAUUCUUUCAAGAAGAGAAGGAUAGCCAGAUAGAUAGAAACUUGGGAAUGAGAUGACAUUUUUUACGUAUAUCAAUGAUGGCAGUCUUACAAUAAAAAAAGUUUAAAAUCGAAAUUUGAUAAGUCAGUCACCUCGGAAACAUGCAUGCGCAAGCGACUACUGGAAAUUCCAAUCUACAAAAAAAAUUCCAAUCUGGAAAAAAAAAGGAUUCCCAGAACGAAGUGAUUUAAACAUAUUUUAUGAUAAAUAUAUAAACAUCGAAGACAUUUACUGCAUGGAUAGUACAUUAAAUUAGAAUUAUAUUAUAUUAAAAUGUUAAAUAUAAUAUAUUCACGAAAAA